GAACGGAGCGCGGAGAUGAGCGGGACAGCGUUCACGCGUUCAAGUCGCGGGUGCCGGUGGCGUGGAGCCCGCGGCUGUACAUCACGCUGGUGCGGGGGCUCCCCGGGACGCGGCGCCUCCACCGCCGCACGCUCGAGGCCAUGCGACUCCGCCGCUGCCACCGCACCGUCGAGCACCGUACCACGCCGUCGCUUCUCGGAAUGCUCACCCAGGUAAAGCGCCUCGUCGUCGUCGAGACCGAGGAGAUGUAUAACGAGCGGAGGCAGGCAGAGGAGGAGCGACGCGCGCCCAGGCCGCCGCUUCUCAUCUCCCACCACCAGCCAGCGCCAACUGCGAACCCGGGAGCAGCCACGGCAGAGGGUUCUGCUGCCACUUCGCCGUAGCCUCUGGGCAUGAGAAGCCUUUCAUGACAGUUCAACGUCAUAAUAAUUAAUUUGCCUUUUGACUCUAGAAGAUAUCAUUGGAUCCUCGUGCUCAACAAGCUCCAGCAACCCAUACUCUAUGAAAAAUUGCAGUAUGGUCCAAACUACUGUUUUCCUUCGCCCUGUAUUUAGAUUUGUUUAUGGACAGGUAUUGGUGUUUCAGUGCCUGUGGUCAAUCUUGCUCGGUGUAAUUUCAAUUACAAAAAUUUCUAAAAAUGCUCUUUAAGAUGUCAUAUUGGUUUCUUCCCUAAUUUAACGUAAGGAUGUAUCUCAGAUUUUAAAUCUAUUGUAUUCUGAUUGUUCCAACAUUAGCAAAAGCAUUGCUGGCUUUCGGUUGAUCGCCAGAAUUGCUUCAGUUCUGAAAGUGAAACUGUCUUGUAGUCUGGUGA